GGCGAUAUGGGUGAGUGGUUAGCCUGGUGCCUGCAAAGCACCCUAGGCCGGUUCGAUUCCGGCUAUCGCUU
rnacentral:tRNA from 2 species